AUAGCUAGAACCUUUGAUACAACAACAGUUUAAAAUGCUAACACAAACUCACACGUGAAUUGUUCUAUAUUAAAAGAAAAACAUCAUUAUCAAUCACAUAAGUAUCCUUUCAAAAAAAAAAAAAAUCACAUAAGUAGAACUUACAGCACAAUUCCAGAUCACAAUUUACUAUGUAGAGCAAAGAAACCAAAAAUAGCAGCUCGACACCAACUACAACACUUACUACUCUAUUUAUAUCGCUGUUCAUAGUGUUACCAUACAUACAUAUAUCCACCUAAUCACCUACAAAUCUCAGCACAUUGAAAAUAAUAUAUUCAAAAUUUAGAAAAUCUAGUAUUCACGAAAUCCAAGUCCAACAAUCAUCCACCAACG
rnacentral:lncRNA from 1 species